rnacentral:rRNA from 1 species
CCUAUUGUAGCUCCUCGAAAGAGGUUCUAUGUUUCUUUUUCACAUCACAUCUAUCAUAUGGCUAGAAUGUAUUUGAAUCCUUGUCUAUCAGGCUCGUCCUGGUCGUCAAGCUCAAUAAAUUAUACAACUUUCAGCAACGGAUCUCUUGGCUCUCGCAUCGAUGAAGAACGCAGCGAAUUGCGAUAAGUAAUGUGAAUUGCAGAUUUCCAGUGAAUCAUCGAAUCUUUGAACGCACCUUGCGCUCCUUGGUAUUCCGAGGAGCAUGCCUGUUUGAGUGUCAUUUUCAAUUCUCAACCAUGUCUCGUUUUCAACUUUUCAUGGCUUGGACUUGGGGGUUGCUGGAAGCCGCAAGGCCAUCAGCUCUCCUCAAAUGCAUUAGCAAAGCAUGUGCUAGUCUUUGGACGUGCACGGCCUUUGACGUGAUAAUGAUCGUCGUGGCUGGAGCGUUCUCUUAUGGACCAUCCCAUCCUUUGCUUCUAAUUCA